rnacentral:rRNA from 1 species
UACGUAGGCAGCGAGCGUUGUUCGGAAUUACUGGGCGUAAAGAGUGUGUAGGCGGUGUUCCCAGUCUGUUGUGAAAUCUCCCGGCUUAACUGGGAGGGUGCAGCGGAAACUAGAAUGCUAGAGGGUGGGAGAGGUAAGCGGAAUUCCUGGUGUAGCGGUGAAAUGCGUAGAGAUCAGGAGGAACACCUGUGGUGUAGACAGCUUACUGGGACCACUUCUGACGCUGAGACACGAAAGCGUGGGUAGCAAACAGG